rnacentral:lncRNA from 1 species
UGGCUUAGGAGUUGGUGCAAACGCAGGAGUUUUGGUUUUUUUAAUCAUGGGGCAAUUUACUCGGCACCUGGCAUGAUGGCUGCAGAUGGAUGCAGCCUGUCUCUAUGGGGAAAGAGGGUUCUAGCUGAGGAACUGGCGGGACUUAUUGACAGGUGUUUAAACUAGGUAUGAAGGGGGAAGGGGACAAAAUGAGGAGCGCUGGGACUGAGGGGGCAGUUCGAGGCUCCAAACAGAACUUGAUGGGUGGAGACAGUGGAGUUCAAAGGCUUGGAGAGGGGUGGAGGGAUGCUGCUUCUCUUAAGUGCCUGUAUACUAAUGCGCGUAGCAUGGGGAAUAAACAGGAAGAGCUGGAGUUCUGUGUGCGAUCGCGAGGUCAUGAUUUCAUUGCGAUCACGGAGACGUGGUGGGACAGCUCGCAUGACUGGAAUGUUGUCAUGGAGGGCUAUGUGCUUUUUAGGAAAGAUCGGCUGGCUAGGCGGGGUGGUGGAGUUGCUCUUUAUGUGAGAGAGCAGCUAGAAUGUAUUGAACUUCACUUGGGGGAGAGUGAUGUAGCAGUGGAGAGCUUAUGGGUGAGAAUCAAGGGGCAGGCUGGUAAGGGUGACACUGUUGUGGGGGUAUACUACAGGCCCCCUGAUCAGGAUGAGGAGGCUGAUGAGGCCUUCCAAAAGCAACUGGAUGUAGCGUCGCGUUCCCAGGCACUGGUGCUUAUGGGGGACUUCAAUUAUCCAGAUAUUUGCUGGACGACCAACAUGGUCAGGCACGCAUGGUCCAGACGGUUCUUGCAGUGCAUUGAAGACAACUUUCUGAUGCAGGUGGUGGAGGAACCGACGCAGGGAGGGGUGUUAUUGGACCUUAUUCUCACCAACGGGGAUGGACUUGCUAAGGAAGUAAAGGUUGGGGGCAGUUUGGGUUGUAGUGAUCACGAGAUGGUGAAGUUCAAGAUCCUGAGUGGAAAAAGCAAAGCAAUAAGUAGGAUUGCUACCCUGGACUUUAGGAGAGCCAACUUGGAUCUCUUCCGGGACCUACUUGGAGCUAUCCCGUGGGCUCAAGUGUUAGAAGGUAAGGGGGCCUCUGAGAGCUGGUCAGCAUUUAAACAGCUCUUCUUCCAAGCUCAGGAUCGGUGCGUCCCUGUGAGCAAGAAAUCGGGAAAAGGUGGCAGGAGACCUGUGUGGAUGAGCAAGGAGCUCACGCGCAAGCUCAAAGGAAAGAAGAAGGU